rnacentral:rRNA from 1 species
AUUGAACGCUGGCGGCAGGCCUAACACAUGCAAGUCGAGCGGAUGAGUGGAGCUUGCUCCAUGAUUCAGCGGCGGACGGGUGAGUAAUGCCGAGGAAUCUGCCUGGUAGUGGGGGACAACGUUUCGAAAGGAACGCUAAUACCGCAUACGUCCUAAGGGAGAAAGGGGGGGCUCUUCGGACCUCACGCUAUCAGAUGAGCCUAGGUCGGAUUAGCUAGUUGGUGAGGUAAAGGCUGACCAAGGCGACGAUCCGUAACUGGUCUGAGAGGAUGAUCAGUCACACUGGAACUGAGACACGGUCCAGACUCCUACGGGAGGCAGCAGUGGGGAAUAUUGGACAAUGGGCGAAAGCCUGAUCCAGCCAUGCCGCGUGUGUGAAGAAGGUCUUCGGAUUGUAAAGCACUUUAAGUUGGGAGGAAGGGCAGUAAGUUAAUACCUUGCUGUUUUGACGUUACCAACAGAAUAAGCACCGGCUAACUUCGUGCCAGCCGCCGCCGUAAUAC